CAGUCGCCGCGGGAAUACAGAGGAUGCAAGCGUUAUCCGGAAUGAUUGGGCGUAAAGGGCUCGCAGGCGGUUUCUUAAGUCUGAUGUGAAAGCCCCCGGCUCAACCGGGGAGGGUCAUUGGAAACUGGGAAACUUGAGCGCAGAAGAGGAGAGUGGAAUUCCACGUGUAGCGGUGAAAUGCGUAGAGAUGUGGAGGAACACCAGUGGCGAAGGCGACUCUCUGGUCUGUAACUGACGCUGAGGAGCGAAAGCGUGGGGAGCGAACAGGAUUAGAUACCCCCGUAGUCCCUGUCUCUUAUAC
rnacentral:rRNA from 1 species